CUCUGACUUCUCUUAAACUGAAUUUUAAUGUGCGUAUUGUUAUUCUUUUACUUUUCUACAUUGGCUAGAGGCAUAGGGGGAGGGUUGAGAUCUCAUAAACAUGUUUAACCCCGCCGCAAUUUUGCGCCUGUCCCAAGUCAGGAGCCUCUGGCCUUUGUUAGUCUUGUAUGAUUUUAAAUUUUAGUUUCUUGUGUAUAAUUCGGAGUUUAGUAUGACGUCCAUUAUCACUGUACUAUUAUGCAUAUUUUAGGGGCCAGCUGAAGGACACCUACGGGUGCGGGAAUUCUCGCUACAUUGAAGACCCAUUGGUUGCCUUCGGCUGUUGUUUGCUCUAUGGUCGGAUGGUUGUCGCUUUGACAUAUUCACCAUUUCCUUUCUCAAUUUUAUAGAAAUG
rnacentral:lncRNA from 1 species